rnacentral:rRNA from 1 species
UCCGACCUCAGAUCGGACGAGAUUACCCGNUGAAUUUAA